rnacentral:rRNA from 1 species
ACAUCCAGCGAACUUGGCAGAGAUGCCUUGGUGCCUUCGGGAACGCUGAGACAGGUGCUGCAUGGCUGUCGUCAGCUCGUGUUGUGAAAUGUUGGGGUUAAGUCCCCGNAACGAGCGCAACCCUUAUCCUUUGUUGCCAGCGAUUCGGUCGGGAACUCAAAGGAGACUGCCGGUGAUAAACCGGAGGAAGGUGGGGAUGACGUCAAGUCAUCAUGGCCCUUACGAGUAGGGCUACACACGUGCUACAAUGGCGCAUACAAAGAGAAGCGACCUCGCGAGAGCAAGCGGACCUCAUAAAGUGCGUCGUAGUCCGGAUCGGAGUCUGCAACUCGACUCCGUGAAGUCGGAAUCGCUAGUAAUCGUGGAUCAGAAUGCCACGGUGAAUACGUUCCCGGGCCUUGUACACACCGCCCGUCACACCAUGGGAGUGGGUUGCAAAAGAAGUAGGUAGCUUAACCUUCGGGAGGGCGCUUACCACUUUGUGAUUCAUGACUGGGGUGAAGUCGUAACAAGGUAGGCGUAGCGAG